rnacentral:tRNA from 1 species
UCCUCCGUAGCUCAGUGGAUAGAGCGUUUUACUUGCAAGUGUUAAACGGAUUAAAGGUCGCAGGUUCGAAUCCUGCCGGAGGAGCAA